rnacentral:piRNA from 1 species
UGGGCAGCUCUAAUGGACUCAGCAAGCAGC